rnacentral:tRNA from 1 species
CCAGCAUUAUGGCAUAGGAUUCAAAGAAAUUUGGGCUGUUAACCCAGAGAAGCAUCACGAGGGUUCUGUUUUUCACACUGCUGGG